rnacentral:rRNA from 1 species
UACGGAGGAUCCAAGCGUUAUCCGGAUUUACUGGGCGUAAAGAGUUGCGUAGGUGGUUUGCCAAGUUUCCGUUUAAAUGCCAAGGCUCAACCUUGGAAGUGACGGAAAAACUGGCAAACUCGAGAAUGAGAGAGGUCACUGGAAUUUCUUGUGUAGGAGUGAAAUCCGUAGAUAUAAGAAGGAACACCAAUGGCGUAGGCAGGUGACUGGCUCAUUUCUGACACUGAGGCACGAAAGCGUGGGGAGCGAACGGG